rnacentral:lncRNA from 1 species
AGCUGGCAGGGAGUGGAGCCAGAGGCAGAAAAGGAGAGAAAAGUUUCCUGCCAUCUUCAUUAGUUGACUUCCCAGUCCACAGCCACAGCUUCCCGGGGCUGCAGAAUUCACUCUCAAUAAAGAAAGGAGGCUUAAAAAAAAAAAAAAAAGUCCUGUGUUUACAAGACCAGAAAUGCCAGCGCUAAGUCCUUCCAGAGAGAAAGGCUGAAAUGGAGGACCGACGCCUUCCUUAUAAGCUCAUCGGAGCACGAUAGAAAAGCAACUGUAAAGGCAGAGAGAGUAAGAGCGGAAGGAAGGAAGUCAGCGCCAACGUAGACCAAAAGGAACCACCCAGAAAUGUAGAAAAAGGAACCGGCAGAGGUCCCCAACAUCGGUAGAAGGACAGAAGACACGCACGGAGAAAGGUUUAUGUUUUGUUUUGUUGUUUUUUAAAUUUCAACUUGGAGCUCAAUGAAGAAAAGGCAAAAUAUAGGCCAGUGGACCAGAGGACCGGAAGAGGACCAGUCAUAGCUCACAGUGUGCCGGGUCCAGAUGGAAGGAACUCCAGACAAACCCCAGUGGCAGGAUAGGCACAGUCCUGAAGGCUGGGGGCUCGCCCCUUGAAACCCUCUUCGCAGGCUGCCUGAGUUCUUUUGCUCUCCUUAUCAUCCCCAUCUUUAUGACGAGGCUUGUUAACAUGACCAGCGAUCUGACCACGCACAUCUAUCUCCACCGCACACGCACUCAGCCGAGCAGCUGAGCUGGGGGGACUGAGAGGCACUAAUUAAUUGAUUCCUUGGACUGUAAAAUAUGGCUGUGUCUACACACACGGAACCUGUGGACUCAUAAACAAUAUGUCUGCAGAUGUGAGUGCACUGUCUCUUAAAGAAUUUUUCUAUAGUUAUGUGCCUAUUAGAAUCCAGGAUUUGAAAGACUCAAAUAAGAUUGCUUUUUCAUAAGCCUCAACACAGUACAAUGUCAGAAAAUUCUGCAAAAACUUGGGUUAUGGAAUAGGUUUUCUCUGCUGUUACUGUAGACACACAAAUUGGCUUCUGACUGCUAAGUGUUAGGAUCAAAAUCAAAGCCCAGCUGAGAAGGCCUGAAUGAAGCCUUUGCCCUUCCUGGGAGAAGGGGAAUGGGCCCAGGUUCAGGCCUUACUUCAUAAUGCUGCUUAGGCUCAAGAUUAUAAUAUUAAUAUAUAUAUAUAUUUACAAACCCUAACCUAAAGGAGCCUAACCCUAACCCUUACCUAGCUCUCCAGAUCACUGUCCACCCCUUAACUAUCUGCCUGCAUAGAGCAUUGCUAUAACAUGCUUGCAUUAGUCUUGGAAGAAUGUGUCUUGAGAUGCAUAAGUAAAUAGCUCUAACAAUUCUAUAUAAUCAUGAUUCCAUAGUGAAUCUUGAUGCAAAUAGGCGUUAAUAUGUUCUCAACAGAUACCAGCUUCAGACAAGAGACACAACAGGAAACUAAAAGUGACCAUUUAUACAACAAUGUUUGCUGACAUACAUGGCUAUUUCAAAGACAAAAAUACUAGGCAGAAAUAGAAAAACACAAAUAGAAACACAAAUAGAAAAAACCAAUUAACCAGUGGAGUUUGUCAUUACCAAUGUCAUCAUUGCUUCCUGAUUUUGGGUGACUCUUUUAAACCCGGCUGUGUUCCCUUCAUUCAGCACGGCAGAGAUGGUCUACCUUCCCAUACCUUCAGCUCUGGCUCCAAUAUUUAUUUUUAAAAAAAUCUUCAGAGAAAUGUAUACCACAAAUAAUAUGUGCAUCUAAAGAAUAUGCCAAUAUAAUUUACAUAUUUUUUCAUAUACUAGGCUGAUAUGCACUUUGUAUGUGUGUAAGAAUGUGAUAUAAUUCUGAGUUUUUACUGCUGUAGUAAUAUUUGGGUGCAUUUCAUGCAAUAGUUCCAUAUGCUACAGAAUGUAGAUACACGUGACUAAAUGAACUCAGAAAAGCACACCCUUUAUGUAGGAUAUAUGAAAGCCUUGCUUACAAAUGCAAAUAAAUUCUUGUUUGUGAAUCU